rnacentral:rRNA from 1 species
UACGUAGGGGGCAAGCGUUGUCCGGAAUUAUUGGGCGUAAAGAGCGUGUAGGCGGUCCGGUAAGUCUGAUGUGAAAGCCCACGGCUCAACCGUGGAGGGUCAUUGGAAACUGGGAGACUUGAGUGCAGAAGAGAAGAGUGGAAUUCCACGUGUAGCGGUGAAAUGCGUAGAGAUGAGGAGGAACACCAGUGGCGAAGGCGACUCUUUGGUCUGUAACUGACGCUGAGGCGCGAAAGCGUGGGGAGCAAACAGG